CUGAGAUGCAAAGGUCAGAAAGAAUCAAACUGUUUCUGUGCCAACAUUGUCAGCAAGGCGUCUGAAAGGAAGCCAAACAUCAAAAUAAAGACCCUUGAAAAGGGUCAGAACAAUGGCUUCUUCCAGAGGAGAACAUUGCCAACCAGGAUUCCAGACAGCAAGCGAAACUGGCCUUUAUGGGAGAAAAUGAAGUGGACUACUGUGAUCUAUGAUCACUCUAUCGACAGCAGCCUUCUCCUUUGACCAGGGGAAAAGAAGACAGAAGGAGUGCCUGUGCUUGCAUUUUGCUGAAACACUG